CCAAAAAGAGCAGUCAAUAUAUCUAUAUACAGUAUACAGUAUUGUAUAACUUCAAGUACCCACAGCAAUUGCUGAAAAGGUCACAUGACCAGAGUCAGGUGGUCUGGGAGGAGACAGUUUGAAGACAGUGGCAGUUGGUCCAGGGGAGCUCUGAGGUAAUGGUGGAAAGGGAAGGAGCUGCGCUGGGUGUCAGAGCAGUGCUGACAGGCUCCUAUUCUGUCCCAUAAAUCCCUUGAAAAGUAUAAUAAAAUUGAAUUACCAGCUACCUCAGAUAAGGCAAGGCCAGGGGAGCAGCCUGGCUGCGAGUGACAGAAGCAGGCAGAACAUUCCCCUGAAGUCCCGGCAUCUGGUGCACGAGCAAUACAGACUGAGAGGUGAAGCAGGAGUUGUCUUAUAAGGUGAUGGAGGACUUGUAACACUUGAAAGCUUCACAAGAGUAGAAUACCGGUAACCAAUGAAGGGACUGACAGAGUGGAUCCACAGAUGAUGAACGUAUAGCGAGGAAAAUCGUCCUUUUAAUGAAGAAAGGAAGUUCACACCAACAGCCAGCUCGGGAUAUAUUUUAGCAACUAUGAAUAGCUAUGAACUUUUCAUACUGGGAUAU